AAAAUAAAGGCAAACCGGAGGAGCAACAAUGAAAAAUCCAAGACUCUGCAGGAGUUCCUAGAGAGGAUUCAUCUGCAGGAAUAUACCUCAACACUUUUGCUCAAUGGUUAUGAGACUCUAGAAGAUUUAAAGGAUAUAAAAGAGAGUCACCUCAUUGAAUUAAAUAUUGAAAACCCAGACGACAGAAGAAGGUUACUAUCAGCUGCUGAAAACUUCCUUGAAGAAGAAACACACAUCUAGGUAUUUUGCCCAAUUUGCAGAUGAGGCAAAAAUUUGGAAAUGAAUUUCAAAGAAGUCAAACAGCUAGAUGAGUGCAGAGAUGGAGAUUUAAUCAAAGGGAGUCUGCUAUAAAACUUCUCCAUAUGUGCAAAUUGGCCAAUAUGAAAGCAAUUAAUAUUUGAAAAUUGAAGUUUUCUGCUACUUCACCAAUUUUCUCAAGGGUUUUAGUUCAGUUUUCUAUAUCAGAAGGUGAAAGGCGAGAGGCUACCAUUGCUGCCUGUCAACAAGGUUUGUGGAGAGAAGGGGCUCAGAACCUGGGCAAGCAGCACUUUCAGCAAUAAACAGUAUCCCCAGGGGCCCACAGAGGGAAGAUGGGUUCAGUGCCAAAGGCUUGCGUCCCCUUAAUUUUUUCAUUCCACUUCACUCAUCACCUGUCUCCUUUCUAUGCUAACAAAAGAACAAUUAUUCACAGAUGGUAAAAUUAUUUAUAGAGCCUGUGUAAUUAAAAAGAAAAAAAGAAAAGAAACACCUGACGCAAAAUUCUUCCAUUGCAAGACGAGAAGAUGAAAAUCCAAGUAGCUAAGUGGCUUUCUCAAGCUCAUAAAUCUAUAAUUCAGUCUCUUACAUCUAUCAGAAACAUGUUCUGCCAUAUCCUGGUCUCUGAAAACAAAACAUAGUGUCUCCAAAGCAUUAAAUGGUUUUUGAUAUUUGA
rnacentral:sRNA from 1 species